rnacentral:lncRNA from 1 species
AUGACCCAAAUGCUGCUGCCACUGCAAUCUCUACCACUCUGGUCCUCUUGGCUUUCCUUGUGCUUUCUGGUUCUGAAAAUAAACUUCUCAUGCACCUUUCACCCAUGGGCUAGAAGUCCCUUUCCAAUACAUAAAGGAAGACACCAUGGGAUAAAAGCACAUCUGGAUCCCAACUCUACUUCUAAGGAGAAUUUUUUCUUUCUUUCUUUCUUUCUUUCUUUCUUUCUUUCUUUCUUUCUUUCUUUUUUUCUUUCUUUCUUUCUUCCUUUCUUCCUUUCUUUCUUUUUCUUUCUUUCUUUCUUUCUUUCUUCUUUCUCUCUCCCUCCCUCCCUCUCUCUUUCUCUCUCUUUCUUUCUUCCUUUCUCUCCCCUCCUUCCUUCCUUUCCUUCUAAUCAGUAGUCAUUCCUGCAAGUUGGUAUCCCAAAAACUAAAGAUUUACUAUAGAUUAUUAUAUCAUCACAGGAAGAAAUAACUAAUUUUUAAAAUUUGAAUGCCAAAACUCAGACUCAGCAAUUGGAAAUCCUUGGUUCUUAGUCUAAGCACUGAAUUAUUCUGUAAAAUUUCUAGUCAAAUAACCCAUUUUUGCUUCAGUUUUAUUAAUAAUUAUAUUUAAGUCAGAGCAAAAUAAUAAAGGAGAUCAUACUCCUUGGGAAAAUGAAAACUAGCUUAACAUAAGGGAGUCUGGAUAUUGUCUUCGGAAUCAGCUGAGAUGAGUUCAAACCUCUACUCUAACACUUAACAUCUUUGUGACUUUGAGAAAGUUACUUAGCUUCUGCAAGUCUCAAUUUCCUUAUCUAUAAGAUGGAAUAGAUAAACCCCAUUAAAGAGUUGUAAGGGUUAGAGAGCACAUACUUAAGGUAUCAAGUAAAAUGUUUGAUACGGAGUCAGUGCUGAGCGUGGUGGUAGGAAACUUCUCUUACCCAUUGCUGAUCCUCUGGCAACAGAAGAUCAAACUGGGCUUUGGCUGGAAAAAACAGGCUUUGAAUAAAUGAGAGUGCACAAGAAUGUACUUUCAAAGAUAUUGAUCUUUCUUCCUUUUAGAAGUUUAUGAUACUGCUUGGCCCACAGCAUUCUGAUUGAGCUUUCUGUAAACUAACACAUGUGCACACCACCAUCACCACCACCACCACAGCCACCAUGACUGCUAGCCAGUUAAAUAGAUUAUGGUACACUUGCCUACAAAUGUCCAUAUAAAAGGCAUCCUAGUUUCCUGUGGUUGGCAAUCGUGGUUGCUCCUAGCAUGCUGGUCCUGAUUAAUGUGUGGGAUAUGUGGGUUUGGGGCAUUAAAACAUAUCCCAGUCUCCAACAAAGGCCAGACUACACUCAAAUAAACAGUCAUUGCUCACUCUGUUUCAAUUUCCCACGACAUAAAAUAAACUAACCAUAUAUAUAUAUAUGAGAAAUUUCUUCAGUGCAUAUAUAGCAUAUGGCAAAACAACAUAUAAAUAGAGAAUUUUCUUCAGUGCAUAUAUGGCAUAUGCCAAAACAACAUAUAAAUAGAUAACUGGGGAGCUUUUAUUCCAUAAGUAAAUGUGCCCAGGUAGACUAUUUUCUUACAGUGACCAGAAUAUUUAAGUCUAGCAAUGGUUGGCUUCCUUUAUUUUUAUAGCCACUUUAUUAAGAUAUAAUUCACAUACAAUUCAUGCAUUUAAGAUGUUUGGUUUAGUGCUUGGUGGUAUGUUACAGAGUUGUGCAACCAUCACCACAACCAAUUUUAGAAUGUUUUCAUCACCUCGCAAAGAAACCCUAUACUCAUCAACAGUCACUUCCUAUUUUGUCCCACACCACCCCAUGUUCCCAGCCCUGG